UACGGAGGAUGCAAGCGUUAUCCGGAAUGAUUGGGCGUAAAGCGUCCGCAGGUGGCUAUGUAAGUCUGCUGUUAAAGAGUGAGGCUCAACCUCAUAAGAGCAGUGGAAACUACAUAGCUAGAGUGCGUUCGGGGCAGAGGGAAUUCCUGGUGUAGCGGUGAAAUGCGUAGAUAUCAGGAGGAACACCCGUGGCGAAGGCGGCUCCCUGGUCCGUCCCUGACGCUGAGACGCGAAAGCGCGGGGAGCGAACGGG
rnacentral:rRNA from 1 species